rnacentral:rRNA from 1 species
CUACGGGGCGCUGCAGUGAGGAAUAUUGCACAAUGGGGGAAACCCUGAUGCAGCAACGCCGCGUGGAGGAUGACGCAUUUCGGUGUGUAAACUCCUUUUAUGAGUCAAGAAAAUGACGGUAGCUCAUGAAUAAGCACCGGCUAACUCCGUGCCAGCGAGCCGCGGUAAUACGGAGGGUGCAAGCGUUACUCGGAAUCACUGGGCGUAAAGGACGCGUAGGCGGGAUGUCAAGUCAGGUGUGAAAUCCUAUGGCUCAACCAUAGAACUGCACUUGAAACUGGCAACCUAGAGUAUGGGAGGGGGAGAUGGAAUUAGUGGUGUAGGGGUAAAAUCCGUAGAUAUCACUAGGAAUACCGAAAGCGAAGGCGAUCUCCUGGAACAUUACUGACGCUAAGGCGUGAAAGCGUGGGGAGCAAACAGGAUUAGAUACCCGAGUAGUC